UUUUAUCUCUACAUUUGCUUUGAAUAUGAGGAACUUUGAAUUAUUCUAGCCUUGCAUUUGAUAUAUCUCCUGUUUAGACGUAACGAUUCGAAUCUAUGCAACUUUUGAGAUUCUGACCUUUCUACCUUGUUAUGGUUAUAACUUCAUGUAUUGACCUCUGAUUUGGACAAAACUUAUUUGAUCAGAAUAUAGACUCAUAAA
rnacentral:lncRNA from 1 species